rnacentral:rRNA from 1 species
AUCUCCGUUUUUAUCAUGUGGAAUACACCAGUUCUUAUCCGGUCACUGAAGUUAAGCAACGUUGACCGCGGAUAGUACUUGGAUGGGUGACCUUUAUCAAACCCCUUUUUUUAGCUACC